rnacentral:rRNA from 1 species
CAGUAGCCGCGGGAAUACGUAGGGUGCGAGCGUUAAUCGGAAUUACUGGGCGUAAAGCGUGCGCAGGCGGUUUGUUAAGACAGAUGUGAAAUCCCCGGGCUUAACCUGGGAACUGCAUUUGUGACUGGCCGGCUAGAGUAUGGCAGAGGGAGGUGGAAUUCCACGUGUAGCAGUGAAAUGCGUAGAUAUGUGGAGGAACACCGAUGGCGAAGGCAGCCUCCUGGGCCAAUACUGACGCUCAUGCACGAAAGCGUGGGGAGCAAACAGGAUUAGAUACCCCUGUAGUCCCUGUCUCUUAUAC